CUAUGAAUAAGAUAUUAAUUUAUGCAUUAUUUAGCACUUAUCACACCCCCCAACCUAUAUUUUGCUAGUCCUCAAGCAAAAUAAAAACUAACUCACUUUCGCAGGAAUCGCGAUUGCAUUUACCGUAUGCAAUAAGGCUUUAAACCCCUAGGUGGCCCUAGUGGACAGUUUUGUCUCGUGAGGGUUUCCGGCUCAGAUACCCACAAACUACUGUCGAAAGUAUUUAUUUUAUUGUUUUAUAAAAUCUAAUUUCAAAUGCAUU
rnacentral:lncRNA from 1 species